AUGAAUGAGAAACAGAAACACCAGUACACGCCUUUUCUUUUCAAUGGUCUCUCAUCCUCUUCCUUACCCCAUGUUUCAAAUUCUGCCCAACAAAUCAUAACAAUAACUGUUAUACAAAAUAAAAAAGGGGAAGAACCAAGGAAACUCACGGUGUCGGCUCUAUGGCCAGAAGUUGGUGAUGACGAAGGUGGUUUUAUGGAUUUGCGGAGGAAGGGUUCAGCGGAUCUGAGAAAGUGA